GUCCACGCUGUAAACGAUGGAUGCUAGUUGUCGCGGGUAACCAACCCUGCGGUGACGAAGCUAACGCGAUAAGCAUCCCGCCUGGGGAUUACGGCCGCAAGGCUAAAAACUCAAAAGGAAUUGACGGGGGCCCGCACAAGCGGUGGAGUAUGUGGUUUAAUUCGACGCAACGCGCAGAACCUUACCCAGACUUGACAUCCUCGGAACCUGGCCGAAAAAGCUGGGGGUGCUCGCAAAGAGAAACCGGGAGACAGGUGCUGCAUGGCUGUCGU
rnacentral:rRNA from 1 species